rnacentral:rRNA from 1 species
GAUGAACGCUAGCGGCAGGCUUAAUACAUGCAAGUCGAGGGGCAGCAGGACUGUAGCACUACAGUUGCUGGCGACCGGCACACGGGUGCGGAACACGUACGCAACCUACCCAAAACUGGGGGAUAGCCCGGGGAAACCCGGAUUAAUACCUCGUAACCUUUUUAAGUGGCAUCACUUGAUAAGUAUAGCUCCGGCGGUUUUGGAUGGGCGUGCGCCUGAUUAGGUAGUUGGUGCGGGUAACGGCCCACCAAGCCUGCGAUCAGUAACUGGUGUGGGAGCACGACCAGUCACACGGGCACUGAGACACGGGCCCGACUCCUACGGGAGGCAGCAGUAAGGAAUAUUGGUCAAUGGACGCAAGUCUGAACCAGCCAUGCCGCGUGAAGGAUGAAGGUCCUCUGGAUUGUAAACUUCUUUUAUGGGGGACGAAACCCGGAUAUUCUUAUCCGAUUGACGGUACCUCAGGAAUAAGCACCGGCUAACUCCGUG